GACGAACGCUGGCGGCGUGCUUAAUACAUGCAAGUCAACUGAACUUUAGGUAGCAAUAUUUAAAGGGAGGUGGCGCACGGGUGAGUAACACGUAGGUAAUCUGCCUUCAGGACUGACAUAAUUCCGCGAAAGCGGGACUAAUAUCAGAUGAUGCAGCGGCUCGACAUCGAGACAGUUGUUAAACCUUCGGGGCCUGAAGAUGAGCCUGCGUCUGAUUAGGUAGUUGGAGGGGUAAUGGCCCACCAAGCCUGCGAUCAGUAGCUGGUCUGAGAGGAUGAUCAGCCACACUGGAACUGAGACACGGUCCAGACUCCUACGGGAGGCAGCAGUAAGGAUAUUGCUCAAUGGCCGAAAGGCUGAAGCAGCAACGCCGCGUGGAGGAUGAAAUACUUUAGUAUGUAAACUCCUGUAAGAGGGGAAAAUAUACAAUUAUGUUGUAUUGAUUGUACCCUCAGAGUAAGCACCGGCUAACUACG
rnacentral:rRNA from 1 species